rfam:Parcubacteria bacterium GW2011_GWA2_47_21 TX94_C0020, whole genome shotgun sequence.
GCGCCCAUAGCUCAAUUGGAUAGAGUACAUGCCUUCGAAGCAUGGGGUUCCAGGUUCGAGUCCUGGUGGGCGCG